CGCGUAGGUGGCUUGUCAGGUCCGAUGUGAAAACCUGGGGCUCAACCCCAGGCCUGCAUCGGAAACCGGCUUGCUAGAGUCUGGGAGAGGAGAGUGGAAUUCCUGGUGUAGCGGUGAAAUGCGUAGAUAUUAGGAGGAACACCGGUAGCGAAGGCGGCUCUCUGGAACAGUACUGACGCUGAGGCGCGAAAGCUAGGGGAGCGAACA
rnacentral:rRNA from 1 species